UACAGAGGUCUCAAGCGUUGUUCGGAUUCAUUGGGCGUAAAGGGUGCGUAGGCGGCGCGGUAAGUCGGGUGUGAAAUCUCGGAGCUUAACUCCGAAACUGCAUUCGAUACUGCCGUGCUUGAGGACUGGAGGAGGAGACUGGAAUUUACGGUGUAGCGGUGAAAUGCGUAGAUAUCGUAAGGAAGACCAGUGGCGAAGGCGGGUCUCUGGACAGUUCCUGACGCUGAGGCACGAAGGCCAGGGGGAGCAAAACGGGG
rnacentral:rRNA from 1 species